rnacentral:rRNA from 1 species
GAUGAACGCUAGCGGCAGGCCUAAUACAUGCAAGUCGAACGGUGUCUUCGGACAUAGUGGCGCACGGGUGCGUAACACGUAUGCAACCUACCUUACAUUGGGGGAUAGCCUUUCGAAAGGGAGAUUAAUACCGCAUAAGACAGUAGCUGGGCAUCCAGCAGCGUUUAAAGAUUUAUCAAUGUAAGCUGGGCAUGCGGCCAAUUAGCUAGUUGGUGAGGUAACGGCUCACCAAGGCAAUGAUUGGUAGGGGAACUGAGGGGUCAAUCCCCCACACUGGCACUGAGAUACGGGCCAGACUCCUACGGGAGGCAGCAGUAGGGAAUAUUGGGCAAUGGACGCAAGUCUGACCCAGCCAUGCCGCGUGCAGGAUGAAGGCGUUAUGCGUUGUAAACUGCUUUUAUACAGGAAGAAACGACUCUUGCGAGAGGCAUUGACGGUACUGUAUGAAUAAGCACCGGCUAACUCCGUGCCAGCCGCCGCCGUAAAAC